UUGAGGAGGAGGUGACCUUGGCGGUGUAGGUGGAAGCGGCGGUGGAGGAGGAGGUGGUAGCCAACACUGUUCAUAUAUAUCUAUUUUUUAUUUUAAUUGGGUAGCCCACAUAAUAUUUGGACAUACAAAAAAAGAAAAAUUUGCGGCCUGAGGUGCAUUUCUUGCAGUCCUGAUGCAUGGAGAAAUGCUCAACUCCUGAUGCAUGGAGAAAAGGCCUUCACAAGCCUCUGCUAAUGGGUACCUAGUUUAUACUAAGUGACCCAUAGGUUGAGGAGGCGGUGACCGUGGCGGUGGAGGAGGAGGAUGAGGUAGCCAACACUGUUUUUUAUAUAUAUAUAUCUGUGCCUACCAUGGUGAUCACGGGUAACAGGGAAUCAGGGUUCCAUUCCAUACAGGGACCCUGAGAAAUGGCCACCACAUGCAAGGAAGGCAGCAGGCGCGCAAAUGACCCACUCCCGACGCGGGAAGGUAGUGACGACAAAUAACUCUUUAGUGGCCCUGUAAUUGUAAUGAGUCCACUUGAAAUCCUUUAACUCUGAUCAAUUGGAGGGAAGUCUGGUGCAGAGUCACUGACCCGUGCAUGCUGCAGCUGAAACUCCACU